CCUACGGGGGGCUGCAGUGAGGAAUAUUGGUCAAUGGGCUUACGCCUGAACCAGCCAAGUCGCGUGAGGGAAGACUGCCCUAUGGGUUGUAAACCUCUUUUGUCAGGGAGCAAUUGGCGCUACGUGUAGCGUUAUCGAGAGUACCUGAAGAAAAGGCAUCGGCUAACUCCGUGCCAGCAGCCGCGGUAAUACGGAGGAUGCGAGCGUUAUCCGGAUUGAUUGGGUUUAAAGGGUGCGUAGGCGGAAUGCCAAGUCAGCGGUAAAAUCGCGGGGCUCAACCUCGCUCCGCCGUUGAAACUGGCGUUCUUGAGUGGGCGAGAAGUAUGCGGAAUGCGUGGUGUAGCGGUGAAAUGCAUAGAUAUCACGCAGAACUCCGAUUGCGAAGGCAGCAUACCGGCGCCCAACUGACGCUGAAGCACGAAAGCGUGGGUAUCGAACAGGAUUAGAUACCCGAGUAGUC
rnacentral:rRNA from 1 species